CUAAGCAUAUCAAUAAGCGGAGGAAAAGAAACCAACAGGGAUUGCCUUAGUAACGGCGAGUGAAGCGGCAAAAGCUCAGAUUUGAAAUCUGGCGUCAUUUUGGCGUCCGAGUUGUAAUCUGUAGAGGAGUAUUCGAGUGUGGAUUUGGCUUAAGUUCCUUGGAACAGGACGUCAUAGAGGGUGAGAACCCCGUUAACGGCCUACGUCUUAUGCUCAUGUGAAUCUCCUUCAACGAGUCGAGUUGUUUGGGAAUGCAGCUCUAAAUGGGUGGUAAAUUCCAUCUAAAGCUAAAUACUGGCAAGAGACCGAUAGCGCACAAGUAGAGUGAUCGAAAGAUGAAAAGAACUCUGAACAGAGAGUUAAAUAGUACGUGAAAUUGUUGAAAGGGAAGCACUUGCUACCAGACACGCCUGUAGUUGAUCAACCUCCAUUCUUGGUGGUGCACUCGGCUAUAGGUGGGUCAGCAUCAGUUACAACGGUGGGAUAAAGACUUUGGGAAUGUAGCUUCCUUCGGGAAGUGUUAUAGCCCUUGGUGUAAUACCAUCUGAUGUGACUGAGGCCCGCGCUUCGGCGAGGAUGCUGGCAUAAUGGUCGUAAGUGACCCGUCUUGAAACACGGACCAAGGAGUCUAACAUCUAUGCGAGUGUUUGGGCGUCAAAACCCUUACGCGGAAUGAAAGUGAAUGAAGGUGGGAACCGCAAGGUGCACCAUCGACCGAUCCUGAUGUUUUCGGAUGGAUUUGAGUAGGAGCAUAGCUGUUGGGACCCGAAAGAUGGUGAACUAUGCCUGAAUAGGGUGAAGCCAGAGGAAACUCUGGUGGAGGCUCGCAGCGGUUCUGACGUGCAAAUCGAUCGUCAAAUUUGGGUAUAGGGGCGA
rnacentral:rRNA from 1 species